rnacentral:rRNA from 1 species
GACGAACGCUGGCGGCGUGCUUAACACAUGCAAGUCGAACGGAAAGGCCCUGCUUUUGUUGGGUGCUCGAGUGGCGAACGGGUGAGUAACACGUGAGUAACCUUCCCUUGACUUUGUGAUAACUUCAGGUAACUGGGGCUAAUACCAGAUAAGAGCUCCUGAUGCUUGGUGUGGGUUGGAAAGUGUCGGCGGUUUGGGAUGGACUCGCGGUUUAUGAGCCUGUCGGUGGGGUAGUGGCUUAGCAAGGUAUUGGCGGAUCGCCGGCCUGAGAGGGUGACCGGCCACAGUGGGACUGAGAGACGGCCCAGACUCCUACGGGAGGCAGCGGUGGGAAAUAUUGCGCACUAGGCGGAAGCCUGGUGCAGCAACGCCGCGUGCGGGAUGACGGCCGUCGGGUUAUAAACCGCUUUCGCCUGUAACGAAGCGUGAGUGACGGUAAUGGGUAAGGAAGCACCGGCUAACUACGUG